AACGAACGCUGGCGGCAUGCCUAACACAUGCAAGUCGAACGAGACCUUCGGGUCUAGUGGCGCACGGGUGCGUAACGCGUGGGAAUCUGCCCUUGGGUUCGGGAUAACAGUUGGAAACGACUGCUAAUACCGUAUGACGUCUUCGGACCAAAGAUUUAUCGCCCAGGGAUGAGCCCGCGUCGGAUUAGCUAGUUGGUAGGGUAAAAGCCUACCAAGGCGACGAUCCGUAGCUGGUCUGAGAGGAUGAUCAGCCACACUGGGACUGAGACACGGCCCAGACUCGUACGGGAGGAAGCAGUGGGGAAUAUUGGAGAGUGGGCGAAAGCCUGAUCCAGCAAUGCCGCGUGAGUGAUGAAGGACCUAGGGUUGUAAAGCUCUUUUACCCGGGAUGAUAAUGACAGUACCGGGAGAAUAAGCCCCGGCUAACUCCGUGCCAGCCGCCGCUGUAA
rnacentral:rRNA from 1 species